UACGAGGGGGGCGAGCGUUGUUCGGAAUUAUUGGGCGUAAAGGGUGCGUAGGCGGUUUGGUAAGUCUUGUGUGAAAUCUCCAGGCUCAACUUGGAGUCUGCACGAGAAACUGCCGGGCUUGAGUGUGGGAGAGGUGAGUGGAAUUCCUGGUGUAGCGGUGAAAUGCGUAGAUAUCAGGAGGAACACCUGUGGCGAAAGCGGCUCACUGGACCACAACUGACGCUGAGACGCGAAAGCGUGGGGAGCAAACAGG
rnacentral:rRNA from 1 species